rnacentral:lncRNA from 1 species
AGCCAUCACUGCAUCACCUCUGCCAUUAAUGUGGAAGUUCCUGUAUUGUAUCCUGGCUGCAAGGUAGAAACCACGUCUGACAAUCCAAAGGGUGUGUGUGUGUGGGGGGGGGGGGGGGUACAUGCAGGAGAGGGAGAGCUGCUGUAUUGUAGCGCCUCAGGGCAGCGCUCCAAGUCAAUAUAUAUCUCCACAGUCGUGUCUGCGCUCCCAUUUGAGCGGGACGUGCUGCCCUGCUGCCACUGCUGCCGAGGAGUGACAGACAGCUACAACCGGACGCUCUCUAGAACUCUUUUUGUAAACGGAGGCAAACAGAAAUUUCAUCUGAGGUGCAGUAUUUAUUUUUCAUGAAUCCACAAAAAAGACGUGUUUAAAAGUGACCUAAAAUAUAAUUAUUUGGCGUGUGUAUAUAUUUAUAUUUUAGAAAAAGAUUCAGUGUGCUAGGUUGAGUGGAGCUGUGCGUGCAGCUUGUUAAAGCUUUUAGUGUGGCAAAACUCCUUAAUUGCCACAAUAGAUGUUCAAGCGGUCGGACUCGCAUGAUCAUCAUCCCUAAAAGCUGAAAACAAGACCGCAGGGUUUGGAUAUGGGGACAUGGGGAGGCAAAGUGCACAGCUGCUGGAGGGAGGUGCGGAUAGCAGUGGCCAGGAGAGGGUAAAAAUGCACUGUAAAAAUGAUUUUUAUUGAUUGGCUCGUAGCAGCAGCUGUUAGACUCCAUUAUGAGCUCAAAGCUCAGGUCAGAGCCCUCAGGCGCAGAAGUGAGCCAAUCAAAUGGUCAGCCAGUAACAGACCAGUUCUAAGGGUCCAGUUGGGAGAGUAGUCGGGAAGCAGCCUGCCACCCUGCGUUAGACUCACAGGGUUCUUCAUCAUCACCCUUCACGCUGCUGCUUAAUAGAUUAGGCUGCCCCUCAGUGAAACUGCCAAUUCAUCACCAGUGCUCACCUUAACAACCUUUAUUUCAAAACCUUGCACGUGAGCGGAAAAAGAUUAAAGGUUUUCUUUUUCCCACUUUUUUAUUCUUCUUCUUUACAACAGAGAUCCACAACUUUAUCCAGGCUUUCAUCUUCAAAAAAAACAAAAAAAAACCUGAGGAAAAAUACCAAAAUAAAAGCCUCCAGGGUUUCCAAACUUGUGAAACAAAUAGCUGCACACGUUCCUGCAGGCUGCAGCCAACAGCAUCCCUCUCGCUAUGAAAAGAUCAGAAAGUUUCUGUGACCGCAGAGCUGAAAUAAAGGGAGUUGAAAUUUUUGAUCAGAAAAUAAAAGAUGAAAUAUGGUCACGUAAGAGCCAAAAAGGUCUAAAAAAUUAAUAGUACAAAGACUGAAAUAAAUCCACCCAACUUUAAUUUUUUAUAAUAUUUUUAGGAUUAAAAUUCUAUAAAAGUAAAUAUCAAGAUUUCAUGUUUUUCUAUCAAUCUAAACUAUAAAUUUAUUUGCAUAUGGGCACCAAACACAUUUUGUUAGCAAUGAACAAAAUACACCUGACCCUAAUCUC